rnacentral:rRNA from 1 species
GACGAACGCUGGCGGCGUGCUUAACACAUGCAAGUCGAACGGAAAGGCCCUGCUUUUGUGGGGUGCUCGAGUGGCGAACGGGUGAGUAACACGUGAGUAACCUGCCCUUGACUUUGGGAUAACUUCAGGAAACUGGGGCUAAUACCGGAUAGGAGCUCCUGCUGCAUGGUGGGGGUUGGAAAGUUUCGGCGGGUGGGGAUGGACUCGCGGCUUAUCAGCUUGUUGGUGGGGUAGUGGCUUACCAAGGCUUUGACGGGUAGCCGGCCUGAGAGGGUGACCGGCCACAUUGGGACUGAGAUACGGCUCAGACUCCUACGGGAGGCAGCAGUGGGAAAUAUUGCACAAUGGGCGGAAGCCUGAUGCAGCAACGCCGCGUGCGGGAUGACGGCCUUCGGGUUGUAAACCGCUUUCGCCUGUGACGAAGCGUGAGUGACGGUAAUGGGUAAAGAAGCACCGGCUAACUACGUG